GUGGCCUAAUGGUUAGAGCGUCCGCCUCAAAUGCGGGAGGUCGUGGGUUCGAUCCUCAGUCUCA